rnacentral:rRNA from 1 species
GAAGAUACGCUAGCGGCAGGCCUAACACAUGCAAGUCGAGGGGUAGAAGAAGCUUGCUUUUUUGAGACCGGCGCACGGGUGAGUAACGCGUAUGCAACCUACCUUAUACAGGGGAAUAGCCCGAAGAAAUUCGGAUUAAUGCUCCAUGGUUUAUCGAUAUGGCAUCGUAUUGAUAAUAAAGAUUUAUCGGUAUAAGAUGGGCAUGCGUAUCAUUAGCUAGUUGGUGUGGUAACGGCAUACCAAGGCAACGAUGAUUAGGGGUCCUGAGAGGGAGAUCCCCCACACUGGUACUGAGACACGGACCAGACUCCUACGGGAGGCAGCAGUGAGGAAUAUUGGUCAAUGGAGGCAACUCUGAACCAGCCAUGCCGCGUGCAGGAUGACGGUCCUAUGGAUUGUAAACUGCUUUUGUACAGGAAGAAACCUCUCUACGUGUAGAGACUUGACGGUACUGUAAGAAUAAGGAUCGGCUAACUCCGUGCCAGCAGCCGCGGUAAUACGGAGGAUCCGAGCGUUAUCCGGAAUUAUUGGGUUUAAAGGGUUCGUAGGCGGCUUUGUAAGUCAGUGGUGAAAUUUUCUAGCUUAACUAGGACACGGCCAUUGAUACUGCAGAGCUUGAAUAAUAUGGAAGUAACUAGAAUAUGUAGUGUAGCGGUGAAAUGCUUAGAUAUUACAUGGAAUACCAAUUGCGAAGGCAGGUUACUACGUAUUUAUUGACGCUGAUGAACGAAAGCGUGGGGAGCGAACAGGAUUAGAUACCCUGGUAGUCCACGCCGUAAACGAUGGAUACUAGCUGUUCGGUCUUCGGACUGAGUGGCUAAGCGAAAGUGAUAAGUAUCCCACCUGGGGGAGUACGUUCGCAAGAAUGAAACUCAAAGGAAUUGACGGGGGCCCGCACAAGCGGUGGAGCAUGUGGUUUAAUUCGAUGAUACGCGAGGGAACCUUACCAGGGCUUAAAUGUAGAUUGACAGAUUUGGAAACAGAUUUUUUCUUUCGGACAAUUUACAACGUGCCUGCCAUGGGUUGUCGUCAGCCUCGUGGCGUGAGUGUCAGUUAGUUCUAUAACGAGCGCACCCCUAAUUGGCUUUAGGUACAGUGCGAGUUCAAUUGGGUGCCGGAGGGA